rnacentral:rRNA from 1 species
UACGUAGGUGGCAAGCGUUGUCCGGAUUUAUUGGGCGUAAAGCGAGCGCAGGCGGUCUUUUAAGUCUGAUGUGAAAGCCCUCGGCUUAACCGGGGAGGGUCAUUGGAAACUGGGAGACUUGAGUGCAGAAGAGGAGAGUGGAAUUCCAUGUGUAGCGGUGAAAUGCGUAGAUAUAUGGAGGAACACCAGUGGCGAAGGCGGCUCUCUGGUCUGUAACUGACGCUGAGGCUCGAAAGCGUGGGGAGCAAACAGG